AGAGUUUGAUCAUGGCUCAGGAUGAACGCUGGCGGCGUGCUUAACACAUGCAAGUCGAACGAUGAUCCGGUGCUUGCACCGGGGAUUAGUGGCGAACGGGUGAGUAACACGUGAGUAACCUGCCCUUGACUCUGGGAUAAGCCUGGGAAACUGGGUCUAAUACCGGAUAUGACUCCUCAUCGCAUGGUGGGGGGUGGAAAGCUUUUGUGGUUUUGGAUGGACUCGCGGCCUAUCAGCUUGUUGGUGAGGUAAUGGCUCACCAAGGCGACGACGGGUAGCCGGCCUGAGAGGGUGACCGGCCACACUGGGACUGAGACACGGCCCAGACUCCUACGGGAGGCAGCAGUGGGGAAUAUUGCACAAUGGGCGAAAGCCUGAUGCAGCGACGCCGCGUGAGGGAUGACGGCCUUCGGGUUGUAAACCUCUUUCAGUAGGGAAGAAGCGAAAGUGACGGUACCUGCAGAAGAAGCGCCGGCUAACUACGUGCCAGCAGCGGCGGUAAUUC
rnacentral:rRNA from 1 species